rnacentral:rRNA from 1 species
GGCUUUGUUUGCGCAGGAUAGGUGGAAGGCGUUGAAAAUUUUCUUGCGGGAAUUUUGGAGCCAUUGGUGAGAUACCACUCUAACAAUGCUAGGAUUCUAACCCUAUACCGUUAUCCGGUUAGGGGACAGUUUCAGGUGGUCAGUUUGACUGGGGCGGUCGCCUCCUAAAAGGUAACGGAGGCGUGCAAAGGUUUCCUCAGACUGGUUGGAAAUCAGUCGAAGAGUGUAAAGGCAUAAGGAAGCUUGAUUGUGAGACUUACAAGUCGAACAAAGACGAAAGUCGGCCUUAGUGAUCCGACGGUUCCGAGUGGAAGGGCCGUCGCUCAACGGAUAAAAGUUACUCUAGGGAUAACA